rnacentral:rRNA from 1 species
CAGCCGCCACGGUAAUACGGAGGGAGCUAGCGUUGUUCGGAAUUACUGGGCGUAAAGCGCGCGUAGGCGGUUACUCAAGUCAGAGGUGAAAGCCCGGGGCUCAACCCCGGAACUGCCUUUGAAACUAGGUGACUAGAAUCUUGGAGAGGUCAGUGGAAUUCCGAGUGUAGAGGUGAAAUUCGUAGAUAUUCGGAAGAACACCAGUGGCGAAGGCGACUGACUGGACAAGUAUUGACGCUGAGGUGCGAAAGCGUGGGGAGCAAACAGGAUUAGAUACCCCUGUAGUCCCUGUCUCUUAUAA